CUAUGUAUACAAAUUAUGUGGUUAUGUGAUUAUUUGCAGUGUUGAAAGAUAAUAUAAAAUUUAAGCAAAUGGCAUUACAAAAAAGAUUAAUUUCACCAAAUGGCACCACGAAUUUUGAAUUUCAAAUUGGCAUCACUAACAUUUGAAGCUCGAAACUAGAAACUUGUAAACAAACAUUUAAAUUUUGUAAAAUGUCUAACGAAAUCCGGAAACGUAAACGUGAAAAUGAAGUAAAGAAAUGGACGGAGCAAGAAAUAGAAACAGUACUAAGCUAUAUGCAAGAGCACAGGAACAUAGAGAAACCAACAGCCCAGCUAUAUUAUAAAAAAUUGUUGGCAGAAACAAACAUCCAUGCAAAUUGG